UAUUAGGUUGGUGCAAAAGUAAUCGCCGUUUUUGCCAUUAAUGUAAUGGCAAAAACCGCGAUUACUUUUGCACCAACCUAAUA
rfam:Papio anubis isolate 1X1155 chromosome 8, whole genome shotgun sequence.